UACGUAGGGUCCGAGCGUUGUCCGGAAUUACUGGGCGUAAAGGGCUCGUAGGCGGCCAACUAAGUCAGACGUGAAAUCCCCAGGCUCAACCUGGGAACUGCGUCUGAUACUGGAUGGCUUGAAUUCGGGAGAGGGAUGCAGAAUUCCAGGUGUAGCGGUGAAAUGCGUAGAUAUCUGGAGGAAUACCGGUGGCGAAGGCGGCAUCCUGGACCGACAUUGACGCUGAUGAGCGAAAGCUAGGGGAGCAAACGGG
rnacentral:rRNA from 1 species